rnacentral:rRNA from 1 species
GACGAACGCUGGCGGCGCGCCUAACACAUGCAAGUCGCACGGGAUCCUUGGCUUCGGCCUUGGUGAGAGUGGCGCACGGGUGAGUAACGCGUGGGAACCUGCCCAGAGGUACGGGACAACCGAUGGAAACGUCGGCUAAUACCGUAUGAUCCCUGAGGGGCAAAGAUUUAUCGCCUUUGGAGGGGCCCGCGUUAGAUUAGCUUGUUGGUGGGGUAAUGGCCUACCAAGGCAACGAUCUAUAGCUGGUCUGAGAGGAUGAUCAGCCACACUGGGACUGAGACACGGCCCAGACUCCUACGGGAGGCAGCAGUGGGGAAUCUUGGACAAUGGGGGAAACCCUGAUCCAGCGACGCCGCGUGGGUGAUGAAGGCCUUCGGGUUGUAAACCCCUUUUCUUGGUGACGAUGAUGACGGUAGCCAAGGAAUAAGCACCGGCUAACUCCG